CAAAACGAACGUCGAAACGAGAAGAGCACAAACCCCAAGCUCCCAGUACCCAGAGCCCUGAACUCAAAACCCCGAACCCCACUGACAGCUAUCCAGUGAAGCGUCAAAGUUCCUAAUGCACACAACAAAUUUCUUAUAUAAGACGGCAGAGGAUACGGAGCAGCAGAUGAGAAGCCAACGGUGGUACAGCUGGCCACUGACAAGGACGAUGGCGACAACUGCGAUGAGGGAAAAGGACGCGCAGGACGAAAGGAAGAAAAGGACCUACGCGACGCAUCAGGCAGAAAUGUCGUGGACAAAAUGACGUUGUCACGAAAAUUGCAGAAUAUAAAAUUCCUAGUUCCGGUGCCGCCAACGACAUCCAACAACAACACUCAAAAGUGAACCCAAACCACAUGGAACAUCCUGUCUGCCUGGCCUCGCUUCGAUUUUGUGUCCAAGGACAAGGCAGAGAAAUCUACACUCUUAAAAUAUAAAAAAAAAAAGGACAGAACGUACACAACGGAUAUAUAAUUGCAAUCGAUGAUAAAUAAAUCAAGAU
ensembl:ncRNA lncRNA:CR44217 long non-coding RNA:CR44217